AUUGAACGCUAGCGGGAUGCUUUACACAUGCAAGUCGAACGGCAGCGCGGACUUCGGUCUGGCGGCGAGUGGCGAACGGGUGAGUAAUGUAUCGGAACGUGCCCAGUAGCGGGGGAUAACUACGCGAAAGCGUAGCUAAUACCGCAUACGCCCUACGGGGGAAAGCAGGGGAUCGUAAGACCUUGCACUAUUGGAGCGGCCGAUAUCGGAUUAGCUAGUUGGUGGGGUAACGGCUCACCAAGGCGACGAUCCGUAGCUGGUUUGAGAGGAUGACCAGCCACACUGGGACUGAGACACGGCCCAGACUCCUACGGGAGGCAGCAGUGGGGAAUUUUGGACAAUGGGGGCAGCCCUGAUCCAGCCAUCCCGCGUGUGCGAUGAAGGCCUUCGGGUUGUAAAGCACUUUUGGCAGGAAAGAAACGUCGCGGGCUAAUACCCCGUGGAACUGACGGUACCUGCAGAAUAAGCACCGGCUAACUACGUG
rnacentral:rRNA from 1 species